rnacentral:misc_RNA from 1 species
UCUCCUUUUCGUUGUCCGUCAUUACAAAGCACUGAAGCUCAGGAACUGUAACUGUUCAAAAGAGCAUACACUUGAACUUGUAGAACUGUAAACAUUUGCAAGGACUCAAACCAAUUCUGCAGGAUAGCUAGACCAACUUAGCAGGUACCCAGACCAAUAGUUGAGAUGCAUCUAAGCAGGCCGGGACAUCAUCGCCAUCAAAAACAAAAUAUAAACAAAUAUUCGUUCUCGAUAGAAG